GUUUCUGUGGUGUAGUGGCUAUCACGUUUGCCUCACACGCAGCAGGUCCCUGGUGCGAGACCAGGCGAAAACA